rnacentral:rRNA from 1 species
UACGGAAGGUGCAAGCGUUGUUCGGAUUGACUGGGCGUAAAGAGCACGUAGGCGGGCUUGUAAGUCGAUUGUGAAAUCCCUGGGCUUAACCUAGGAACUGCAGUCGAAACUGUGAGUCUUGAAUGUUUGAGAGGUUGGUAGAAUUCCAGGUGUAGAAGUGAAAUUCGUAGAUAUCUGGAGGAAUACCGGAGGCGAAGGCGGCCAACUGGUGAAACAUUGACGCUGAGGUGCGAAAGCGUGGGGAGCAAACAGG